CACUGUUCGCCGGAUGAUGUAGAUAGGAUGCCUGGAAUUCAAGGUGCUGUAUCAGUUCUUGUGUCGAUACCCUGGCUGGUUGUUUGUUGUGUGGACAUUCUAUGGAGCUGUCUGACGCGUUUCGUAGGGGGUAGCCCUACUUCCUCAGAGACGUAUAGGUUCACCUCCAUCUGGGUAUGUUUAUAUAUCCCUCAGUUGUUUGAUCAAUUAAUCAAUAUUCGUAACAGGUAAGUUAAUUUUAGUAGAAUAUGUAAAACAUCUAUGACAUUAUGG